rnacentral:rRNA from 1 species
AGACCCGAAACCCGGUGAUCUAGCCAUGGGCAGGUUGAAGGUUGGGUAACACUAACUGGAGGACCGAACCGACUAAUGUUGAAAAAUUAGCGGAUGACCUGUGGCUGGGGGUGAAAGGCCAAUCAAACCGGGAGAUAGCUGGUUCUCCCCGAAAGCUAUUUAGGUAGCGCCUCGUGAAUUCAUCUCCGGGGGUAGAGCACUGUUUCGGCUAGGGGGCCAUCCCGGCUUACCAACCCGAUGCAAACUGCGAAUACCGGAGAAUGUUAUCACGGGAGACACACGGCGGGUGCUAACGUCCGUCGUGAAGAGGGAAACAACCCAGACCGCCAGCUAAGGUCCCAAAGUCAUGGUUAAGUGGGAAACGAUGUGGGAAGGCCCAGACAGCCAGGAUGUUGGCUUAGAAGCAGCCAUCAUUUAAAGAAAGCGUAAUAGCUCACUGGUCGAGUCGGCCUGCGCGGAAGAUGUAACGGGGCUAAACCAUGCACCGAAGCUGCGGCAGCGAACGUAUCACUUAAAGCGAUUCAGCGGGUUACGAUUGACGGAGCGAAGCGACGUCAAAGCGUAUACAAAGUCGAGUCGGUUUAAGGAUACGUUCGUUGGGUAGGGGAGCGUUCUGUAAGCCUGCGAAG